GGCUUUGGCAUUCCAGGGCAGGGAAUAAAAUGUUUUGGUCUUAUUGGUCUGGCUCUAAUACAGAAAGCAGACUGUCGAUAUCAAAAAAAGGAACAGGUAAAUUCCAUUUCUGGAGAAUCCUUGCAUUCUUGCAAUGGGAAAAGAUGAAUAUCUUUAUAUCUUUAUUCUGUCCUACCAACUGUUUCACUUUCACCCUUAAGUGUUUCAACAACUAGAACUGACCUCAGAAAGUUUCACAUGAAAGAUAAGAAAGUAGUGAAAACACACUCAGAGACAUGCAGUGAUGACACAGCUGUACUUCACUCAAAUACUUGCCCUUUCCUGCAUUUGGUUAGAUUCCAGAUCAUAAAGUGCACUUGUGCCGGCUCUCCUGGAGGACUAACCAGGUUUGUUUUUGUGUUGCACUGUCCCCCCACAGACACCAGAGGGUCUUUUCCACCCGUCCCCCUAUUGCUGUUUCAAUGCUGCAGACUGGGAACACUCUAUGAGAGCUCUAACCCAAUUUGGGCAUCACAGUUGGACUCUUGUAUACUUGCACCAGUUGGGCAAUCUCUUGUACCCAUCUCAGCUAUGAAUUCACCUAUGACUGAUCAUACACCACCAACGGAGAGGUGCUAUCAGUCAAGGAUGCACUGAGCCUAUCAGUGGAUGUCAUGUGAUGGCUCAAAGGAAUUAUUAUGAAGUAUUCGGAAUAUUUGCACUUUUUUGCAAAUUGCUCUUUGCAGAUGACAGAUUCUUGUUCUUUUGGUUGUUUUGGAGGAAAAUUGGUGCAAAUAUGUGAUCCAAAUCACUGCUACUGUUAGACAUAUGUAGACAUAUUAAACCUCAUUUUAAGCCAGGAAAGAGAAGAGUUAAGAAGUUGAAGGCCUUUAAGUAGGCAGCAGUGACAUUGGAACCGUAAGAGGUUCUAUUUUUGGUGUGGUUAGGGGUGAAGUAUAUUACAAGCUGACCUUUUUUAUCAGUGUUGCUGUCAACUCAGUGAUAAUAAGAGUUCCCUCUGAAGGUUGAACUAUAUGUGAGGCUCUCUUUUGUCUGUCAACAGAGCAGUCGAACACACCAAAUUAGAUUUUGCUUCUUAAACAUGGACGGAACUCCAAAAUAUACACUUUGAUAGACUUUCCAGUCCGUCGUAACGUGUGCUGAACAAUUCUUAAAUCAACUCAGCAAGCUUCGAAAAAAGUGAGGGUGCUGUUAAUGUAUUUAAGCUGAUUUGCUUUGAUAUUUUCAUCUCCUGUUCUUUGCUAUGUGGGCUUGAUAAGACAGCAAACUUUGAGCAUGGUACAAGAAUAUGGUGGGGUUAAAUGCAUAAAUACUGCUUAACCUAGACAGAACCUAAAUUUUGUUAGUUUGACUGUUUUCCAGCAUAUAAAUGCCAUGCACAUGUAGCAAUCAAGACAACCCUGGGUGUGAAAAUCACACAUUCCUCACAGGAAAGUUUCCUUAUCUGGUCCCAGGACACAGGAUAUAAAUCUUUCCAGACUUGUUUACACUUUCAGGUGCCUAAGUGACCCAACCGGAGGUUGACCAAACUUCUGACUCUUCAUGAUUGGUCAGUUCGGCGAACAGAGACAGAGUUUUUAUUACCUUUCAAACUUACUCCAUCACUGACCAUCUAAAUAAACAUUAACGUCUCAACCCAGAUCUCCCAUUUGAGAUUUACCUUCUUAAAGUGUGUGAACAUACGGACCCCAGGAUAAGGGGGGACACUGACCUCCAGACCUCGGUCGUAAAACCCUGCUCGACCAUACACUGAUAAAGACUACAUUCCUUUGGUGAAAGAAUACAAAUGACUGAUCAUGACAUCUUAUGCAUUCAGCAAUGUACUAAUCUGUCUAAUCAUGAAAUUUGUGUUAAAAUGAGAUGUUUCCCAUUUUUCUAUGUGCUCCAGAAGCCGAGUUAUCGCUCUUUAGUUUCUUUAGACCAACAGCUUUUCAGACUGUUUCAUGAACUUUUAAGAGUUAAAUUUAUUGACUAUGAAUCAAAACUUUACUCUAAAGUAACAUAAACAGUUUAGAAAUGUUUGGUUUAUAUUUUAGUUGUUUAUUUAGUAUUUUUAACCAUUAGAUGGUUAUAAUGUCAUUGAAUAACCUGAAUGUGAGUAUUUAGAAUCCAUUAUUAAUCAUGAUGAAGUUCAUUCACAUGUGUUUACUCUUUUGUUGUUCACAGUUUCCAUGUGUUACUAUCUGUUUCAUUUCAGAGUAAUUUAGCAUGUUCAAUGUGAUACUUAAAACAUAAUGAGAAUGUUUGAUGUGAUCCUACACUUCAUUCAUAUGUGUUUAGUGUCAAAUUAUUUAUCAUGAAACCAAGUAUUCAAUGAUAUUAAUCAUAGUGAGUGAGUAUCAGAUCUGACUCUUUUACCAGCCAAAAGAAUAAGUUAGAUCAAAUAAUCAGAGACCCGAUGACCCCCUCCUCUUUCUCCUCACACACACACGCCGUAGACACUCCAAGUGUGAGAAGAUAAAACCAGUGAAGUGGGGUUGCGCACUCUCUUAUGCUUCUCUCUCUUGUCCAUCACUUCCUUCCUCUCUCGUACCCACUCUUCUGCCCACACCCUUCUGUGGUGCGUUUCUUUGUUUUCUCUUAGAACUUUUUCUUAGUCUUCUAAGUUUUACGCCACGUGUUGAUUCACGUUGAUUUUUCUUUAACAUCGUCUUAGUUCAAGUUUUGAAACUUCAACUUUUUGUGCGCAUAGCAAUUCAAGAUUAAGCCUUUGAUUGAUUUUUCUUUAAUUUCGCGAAGCCAUUUUUGAAAGUUUUCUCUACUCUUCGAGCCUCGUUUUCUGAGUUAUCUGCGUGAUUCAAAGUCACCUCUGAACGCAAUCCAGCAGGCCCAGGUCAUCCUCUGUGCCAGAGUUUUUGAGUGAGACCAAGAAGCGUCCAAACGAGCAUCCACAGGAUCCACAGGCGCCGGCUUUACUCCAGGCCCGAGUGCUACAACUCCCGGCUCAUCCUUCGGCUGACCUCAGUCGUCUUCUGAGCUGAACCGCUCGAACCGCCAGUAGCCCUGGACCUUCGGAACCUGCUCCAUCUUCUCCAAGGACCAGUCGCACUUAAGUAUGCAAACCUCCAGAGCUCUAAAGAGGGCUGGUGCUGUCUCAUGCGUUCAUAACUCAGAUAUCCUCUUAUUCUGGUAAUCUUAGAUUCCUCCAAAUCCACAUCCGAGUUUAUCUCGACACCAAAGUUAGUGUAGGUUAAUAUGUUAGCGCAUAUUCACUCACUAUCAUUAACUUUAGUGCUCCUAGCCUGACUCAGAAUCUUUAUUUAUUCACCUAUUAUUAUUUAUCUUCAUUAUCUUAUCAUCAUUUAUUGCAUGUGUGUUGUACCAUCAUUUAUCCUGUAAUAAACAGAUCAUUAUUUUUCUAAGUUCUUGACUGUUAGUGUUCUUCCAGAAGUGGAGUCCCUGAAAUUAGAAUUUCGACUUAAGAUAUGAGACUGAUUAAUUAAAACUGACUUGAUGUUUGAUUUCUGAAUUAAACUUUUGUUUUCUUUAUUUUCCCACCAUUAAGGGUGGGUGGUGCCCCUUUCAACGAGUGCAUAAAUGUCAUAAUUUGAGAUUAUUAAUCUUCAGACAUUUAUUAUAAAUUUCAAUCGCUACAGUAUUGUUUUGGUGCGGCCUUGUGAGGCUCAUUUCAAAUCGCUACACACACAUCGUAGUUCAUUAAUCAAAAAUGACUUUGGAUAGAAAUGUUGAGCAAUCAAGAUAUCAGCAAAAUGUGGUUUUGAAGCUGACUGUACCAGCUGGGCAUAAACAAAGUUGGUUUUCCUGUCCUGACUGACAAGUUACCCGAGAUUUCCAUAGCAUCCAGAACGGCUCCAAUCCGGAACGGCGGUGGUUUUUUGCCGUACGCCAAUUCCUACCAGAUCUGUUUGUGAGUUUCAUGGCUGAUUACGGACAGCAGGAAUCGCAGCAACUCACAAGAACCCGUGGAUUCAUGUGCAAUCGUGCGAUAACAAGUUGUCUUAAGCCACAUAGGCUAACCAUAUAAGCAGUAGAUUGUGUCCUUCCAGAGGAGAAAAUCUACUUCUAGACUUAUAAAAUCAGCAUCUCCUCAUCCAUAGUGUCAUCAGGAUGAAAUGCUGUCUAUAAACCUUUCACUUGUUCGUCCCCACUCGUUUGAAUGGUGUGAAAUAUGAUCCACCUGAAACAUGGAGUGUUUUAUUUUGUGUCUGUGCCUGACUUCCUUUCCAGCACAGGUUAAUCUGAGCUUAAAAUUCUUUUCCAUUGUUUCUAUUACCCACUUCCAGGGUAGCUUCUACUAGGCAGUUAGGGUCAGCUCCUGUAGUGACAUCAGGACAGGACUGCUACCCAAACCCCUGCUAGGGCUUUACUUUUGUGAUUUACUUUGUUGUUCAAGAGUCAAAAUGUCAAAGUUUGGAACCAGUCACCUCAACUGCUCUGUUGUUGGUUGCAAACCAGAGCAUCAAUGACUUCUCCUUCACCUCAAAGAGCUUCAACAGCAAAGGCUGAAAUAAUGAUGCACAAAAAAGGCAAAAUAGCAGGAAUAACACUCACAUUUUUUAUGCACCAUUUAGAUACAGAUUGAUGUGACUGUGGCUGCAGUACCUCCUCCAGUUUGGGGUCAGAUCCUUGACACUAGUGCAGGCUCUCCUGGAGUUAUGUUCUUCCACAACUCUCUGUUUGGAUUGGUCCGGACACUCCCCUCUCUGACACUACAUUUCUGAAAACAUGAGUGCAAACAGGCCAAUGUAAAAGCUGUGCGGUUAUGAUGACGUAAUUCUAUUUUUGAUGGAAAUGUACCCACAACAACUUCGAAAAUGUUGUAUGUGUGUGCUAACCAUUUCACCUCGGACUGUUUUACCAGUGAGGGGCCGUUCAAAGCAGGAUUUGCUAAGAAGCUGAAGAUAAAACCUGGAUCCAUACCGACUGGAACCCAACUUCACACGUGGAAGCUUUAAGUUUUUACCAUUUUACGUAUGACUAGUGCUUUGGCUGCAAUCACGUGUGUUUACCAUCGUUGGUGUUCAUCUUUAGACCCGCUUCUAUUUACUUGUAUUCCAGUGAGCGGCGGGUGUUCCUCGGGGCGUGGAGGCAGGCUGGUGCUUCCAGACGCAGUGGUCUGGAAAUCCUCAGAAGAUCUCCAGACCAGUGCCGGCAGCCCAGAGUGACCUUUGGGAGGAAGAGUGUGGUUAUACACAGCUCAUUAUCAUUUAAAGGGACAGGCGCAGAAUCAGACCGUUCUCAGUGGAGCUCAAAAAGAGGGGGGUACAGGCUGGCUGAUAUCCACAAAUAAACUAGUGUUUUAGACAACAAACUUCAAAUUUACUUUUGUGGGGCCUCUGGGACUGAUUUAAGUCAAUCAGAUCAUCGCGUGGAUAAUGUUGUUAGAAAUGGAGAUGCUGCAAAUCUUUCAUGGAGGCUGAAGGUGCAAUGGUCCUUUCUUCUGAAUUCAAAAUAUUUCUUCAAAAAUUACAGGUAAAAUAAUCACAGAGCAAACAUUAAGACAUGAUUAUUUUAUUUGGAGGUUUAUUUAAUCCAAAACUGUUGCAAGAGAUCAAAUUAUCUGAUCUUAACAAUGACAUUUCAACUGGUGAAUAGCCAUAAUUUUACCCGUUUUCAUCAGUGUUACUGACACGGACACAUGUUCUGCUUUGUCACUGAUGUAGGGUUUAAUUAAGGAUGUUUUUAAUGCAUUUUUGAAUGAACUGUUUCAAAAAUUUCUGACCCUGGCUGCCCUCGCUGUGGUCUGCAUCCUGUGAAACGGAGGAGUCAGUGUAAAUCAGGGAGACAGGAAUGUAACUUUUCCUCUCGUAAAAACUCUAACAAUGAGGCUCGUAAAUAGUAACAAGAACCCACAAAUUCCCAAACAGUGGGGCAAACCUUAAACAGCACCAUCUUUUACACAACACAAGAGGAGAGAAUAGUGGAUCCUGAUAAAACUGGAUACACAGCGUCACCCCUACAGUUUACACUCAAGUCUUAGUGUGACUUUUACAGUUACUGAGCUGCCACUGAUCACAGCAACAGAAGUGGAGUUAGAGGUGUGAAUUAACCUGCUGACAGGCAUUUCAGUGUCAUACUGUAGUAAAAAUUCCCAAAGUGUAUAAGAGCUUGCAAAAGUCUCCAAGGAAACACAGCCUUUCAAAAGUUUCGAGGGAUGUUGUAAAAGUAUUGAGUAAUUUGAUUGAAGUAUUUUUGUAUUUUUGCUACUUAGUGUCCCCCUCUUUAUGAUAAUGUUAGAAUACAAAUGUUGCAGAACUUAUUUUAGACAACUGGAUAACCAUCCUGGGCACAGAAUGUUCUGAAUAACAGGAAAACUUUCUGUCGACUAAAAGUGCGAAUGUUCAUUAUCCACACGCCUAAAAACAACACACACACAUACACAGAUCUCACACAGGAAUGAGUGCGUGGGCUGAAGGCUGGCACAGCCCCGAACAGAGAGGGUCCUGGCAUGUUUGAACAGGAGAUUCCGAAAAUGAAAGUCCAACCUAUUGAACUGGGUGUGACCCAAGAAGGUGAAUGUUUAUCUUUUUUUUGCACAUGGAGGCUCAUCCCUUCUGAGACCUCAGCUGAGUACAUGCUUUACCUAUGACCAGAGUAAACUCUGUUAACACUUGACCAAUCUGUCUUCUGUUCUUCCUCAGAGCUUCACACAAACAAGCACUUUGACAUGAUUUGGGUUCCAGCAAAACUGUCUCAAAUUCUCACAAACCUUUGUUGCUAUCAUGCAAAACGUGUCAGGACCAGAAAACUUGUAAAAGUGUUGCAAGAUCUCUGAAAAAGUUUCUUUGUAUCUUGAGAAAAGAUGUUCAGAAUCUGAAAAUACACUUUAAGUGUCUUGCAAAGUAUCUUUAGAUCUUGCAAACGUUUCCAAGGAUUUUGAAGUGUGUCCUAGAUUUUCAAAAAAGUGCCUUACAGCCCUGCAAAAGUUUCUUAGGAUCUUGCAAAUAAUAAUGCAUCAGAUUUCAUAUAACGCUUUAUCAGAGACACUCAAAGCACUUUACUUUAGAUACAUCAGUCACACCUUGGUGAUGGUCAACUACCUUAGUAGUCACAACUGUCCUGGGGCAGACUGACGGAAACGUGGCUGCCAGUUUGUGCCUACGGUCUCUCUGACCACCACGACACAACACUCUGAUUCAUACACCAGUGGAGGACACACACUGGGAGCAAGGUGGGUCAAGUGUCUUGCCCAAGGACACAACGAACAGACUCAGGAUAGGGGGGAAUUGAACCGCCAACCUUCCGUUCAUUGGACGACCGCUCUACCUCCUGAGCUACUGCCGCCCAAACAUGUCUAAUGGAAUAACUAGGAAUCUUGCAAAGUGUCUCAGAGAACAGAAACAGUUUUCUAAUGGAUCUUGGAAAAGAGUUAAAUGAUUUGAUAAAGGUUUGUUUGGAUUUUACAAAAUGGUUAGAAUCUGAUCAACCCCCAAUUUCCACCGCAUUCAGAACGGAUACAAAAAGGCCGUAUCCGCCGAUCGUAGCUGAUCGUAACCAUUCAAGUUAAUGUGUCAAUUUCCACCGGCCUCUUUCCAUUCUGCUGCUGAUCGUCGGACUCCUCAGCCGAUCACAAGAGUUCUAUUUUUUUUUUGAUUGCGGGUUCUUGUGAGUUGUUGUGAUUCCUGCUGUCCAUAAUCCGCCACGAAAUCCGCCUCACAAACGGAUCUGGUAGGAAUUGGCGGACAGCAAAAACCGCCGCUGUUUUGGAUUGGAGCCGUUCCGGAUGUGGUGAAAAUUUGGGGUGAUUAAGAAAGCUCACAAACAUUGAAAGCAAAAGUGCUUCAUGGUCUCCCAAAUCAUUCUUAGAAAUUCUCCAAAAUUGUUUCAAGAUCUUCAGAUUUGGGAUGAAAGAAUCCUCAGGAAUCUUGCAAAGUGUCUUACAACCUUGCAAAGUUUCUAUAGGGAACUUGCAAAACUGCUCAAGGUGGUGCAAAGGUGCUAAAGGAUGACUACAAAACCAAACUUUUAAAAAUCUCCCCUAACUUUCAAAAGUAGAUUUAAAGGUCACAAAAACUUUUGAGGACCUUGCAAAGUGUCUCAGAAUCUUGCAGAAGUGACCCAAAACCUCAUACAAGUCUCCAAGGAUCCUUAAAAUCAUGUCUGGAUCAUUUGAAAGGACUCCAGAUCCCUUCAAAAGUGUCUCGUGGCAGAAGGAACUCUCAAAAGUUUUACAUGAUUUGGCAAAAGUUUUUUUAGGAUUUUUGGCAUCAACCUUAUCCGUUGAAGUUGGUUCAGUCUCUUAUGACCACCUUUACAAAAAUUUGCUUUAGUAAGAUAUAAUCAGCUCAGUGUUGUUGUUUUUUUAACGACCUCAUGGAGACCCAGAAUCGAUGUAGCUACAGUCAAGGUAGCGCGGCCUCUUCUGCUCCAAUCAAAGAGCUCUACGAUCGAUCCACUUUGUUGAAAAAAAAAAGUUUUUUUAAUUUUGAGGCGUUCUUAAAGAGCACUUAUGCCCCCCCCCCCCCCAUGCAAAGAACACAAAUGCAAAUUGACACACCAGAGGAAGCUGGUCAUGCGGUUCAACGUUUUUCAGCUUUUUUUGAGAACUUUAACCUCUUCCUCUUCUUUAGCCAGGUGGUUGAAACUGAAAUUCAAACUCAAAUGUAAAGACUGUCACUGCAUGUACCUAUCCCUCAACCUC